rnacentral:rRNA from 2 species
CAUCCUCCAAGGCUAAAUACUCCUGACUGACCGAUAGUGAACCAGUACCGUGAGGGAAAGGCGAAAAGAACCCCGGCGAGGGGAGUGAAAAAGAACCUGAAACCGUGUACGUACAAGCAGUGGGAGCCCCACCACUAAGCCAGUGGUGAACUCCACAUACGCAUCCUUUGCUGAGGAUACGGUUAACGGAGCGAAAGCGACGUUCAACCUCAAAAGAAGCAGAGGGGGCUUAGUGGUGGGGUGACUGCGUACCUUUUGUAUAAUGGGUCAGCGACUUAUAUUCUGUAGCAAGGUUAACCGUAUAGGGGAGCCGGAGGGAAACCGAGUCUUAACCGGGCGUUAAGUUGCAGGGUAUAGACCCGAAACC